rnacentral:rRNA from 1 species
UACGGUGGGGGCAAGCGUUGUUCGGAAUUACUGGGCGUAAAGGGCUCGUAGGUGGCCAACUAAGUCAGACGCGAAAUCCCUCGGCUUAACCGGGGAACUGCGUCUGAUACUGGAUGGCUUGAGUUUGGGAGAGGGAUGCGGAAUUCCAGGUGUAGCGGUGAAAUGCGUAGAUAUCUGGAGGAACACCGGUGGCGAAGGCGGCAUCCUGGACCAAUACUGACACUGAGGAGCGAAAGCCAGGGGAGCAAACGGG